GAUGAAGAACGUAGCGAAAUGCGAUAAGUAAUGUGAAUUGCAGAAUUCAGUGAAUCAUCGAAUCUUUGAACGUACAUUGCGCCCGCCAGUAUUCUGGCGGGCAUGCCUGUCCGAGCGUCAUUUCAACCAUCAAGCCCCGGGCUUGUGUUGGGGACCUGCGUCCGACGCAGGCCCUGAAAACCAGUGGCGGGCUCGCUGUCCACACCGAGCGUAGUAACUAACCUCGCUAUGGAGUGGCGCGGGCGCCUGCCGUAAAACCCCCAAUUUCACAAGGUUGACCUCGGAUCAGGUAGGAAUACCCGCUGAACUUAAGCAUAUCAAUAAGCGGAGGA
rnacentral:misc_RNA from 1 species